UCACCUUCCAUGCUUUGACGUUCACAAUAGAUGGGUGUCAUUUAGCUAAACGCUGCAUCCAAUAUACGCAUAUUUAAUGAAUCUAGUGUCUCCAUGUUUGUUUCCGCAGUAAUUACAACAAAGGGUUGUUGUUAUAGUAACAGUCCAUCCAAGGGAGAAAGAAAAUUACCUUCAAAAUUUGGAGUUCGUGUUUUUCUUUGACAGGCUCAGCGCUCUUCUCUUCCUCCGCCAUCUUCUCUAACGCUGAGGGCAGCAGACUGCUGCAAGAAGAGGCUACGAACUUGGUGCCACUAACAAAAUACGCUUUAAAAGUUACGAGAUUAACAAUAAAACAUGUGUUAUUAAACGUA